ACUCGAUAACAAUCGCAAAGAGCAGUUAACAGGUCAAUCAACAAUGCAUUACAAUGCCUGACUGGCGACUUGUCCUUCUGUAAAUGACGUUACUCACUGGAGAUUGCUGCACAAAAGCAUUUUUGUUGUUAAGCGCGUUGCAAUGGGUCGAAGUGAUGGGUCCAGCGACACCGAUGCGUUGAUGCAUGCGCCGGGCUAACAGAGAAAACCAGGUGUCGGUGCAUGUGCUGCUUCAUUACGCCACGUGAUUGACACGUGAAUUGCACCGGCGCAGUUUAGACUGCAUCGGCUGCGUUGACACAGUCCAGGCUGCUAAUUGACACUCCCGGCUGCGCCACUUAGUCCAGGGGGCGUCGACUAAGUGCAGAGGGCGUUGACGCUGCAAAAGCCUGCCGCACAGUGUUUAUAAGGAAGUGCGUCUGGCGACACUAUGCCACCUGCCGAAACAAGCCAGACCUCACUCACGCUCGCUUGUCGAAGUUCGUGGUACAGACUUCGUGUCACUGCAGACUUCGUGUCCGUGCCUUACUUGCCAAUUAUGGAGCAGAGACGCAAAUCAUACACCGUGUGGGACUAUUUUGAUGUCCUGCAGAAUAAGGUAUUAUUUAUUUAUUUAUUCAAAUCGCCUUCUGUCGCCGAGUGCCUCUCAGCGAGUGCCUCUCAGAUUAUUGACAUGUGUUGUACCAUUCUAAUUCAAAUUCAUUUCAAGGCAACUCUUGGUUACUUCUUAUUCACAUUUCAUUGCAGGUGAAAUGUCAAAUUUGCCGGGUCGAAUUGUCAUACACCAAUAGAAGCACCUCCACCAUGCUGAGGCAUUAUCUGGCCAAGCAUGAGAAUGAAGUUCGCGAUACACCCAGGAUUACGCCAGCUUCCAGGAAGCAGCUGCUCGAUCAGGCACUGCUGAACUUCAUUAUGAAGGACUGCCAGCCCCUCAGCAUUGUGGAGAGUUGAGGGUUCAAGGACCUGAUUCAGG